CAGUCUGCGAUUGGCUGUCGCGGUGUGAGGUGUCUGGGGCCGCCGCUUGGCUUGGGGAUCGGCUAGGGCUCGAUACAAAUUUAUCGGGAAGGGGGCAGUGAAGCAUCCUAGUUAUGUGAGUGACUAUGUCAUAUGUGGUGCGAUGAAGCUAUGAUCAUUUUUCAUAGCAGCGGGACUGAUAAAGUGGUUGAGAAGUGAGCGAGUGAAGUGCUGUGCGUGAGGGUGGGGUGCUUGACACACAUUUAUUCCUUUCGCCCGGCAUUAACCAUUGAUUUAAAGCAGAUUUGAAGCGCUAGCGCCGGGGCCGGACCGGGUCCUCUCUGAUCGUGGUCGUACGGCUGACCUGCGGCUGCCCUACUGGUGACCUGCCGCACCAGCUGGCGUCCUUCGAUCGACCCGUGACACCGACCGUGGAGUGGCCUUCCGCACACCUGAGAUAGCUGGCGAUCCACGGGAACUUCUCCGAGUGUCCUGCCUGCGCGGCGCCGAACCGCGGCCGUCGGGACGCUGCGGGCCCGUCGGGACGGGCUGGGGAGUGAGUGACCUGACCGACCGCAGCAGCAGCCACCUGCACCCCAGUCAGCACCAUGGCGGACCUCGAGGCGGUGCUGGCGGACGUCAGCUACCUCAUGGCCAUGGAGAAGUCCAAGUCGACGCCGGCAGCGCGGGCCAGCAAGAAGAUCGUCCUGCCCGACCCCAGCGUGCGGAGCGUAAUGCACAAAUACAUGGAGAAGAUGGGCGAAGUCACUUUCGACAAGAUAUUCAACCAGCGACUAGGUGAGUAC